GAUGAAGAACGUAGCGAAAUGCGAUAAGUAAUGUGAAUUGCAGAAUUCAGUGAAUCAUCGAAUCUUUGAACGCACAUUGCGCCCCUUGGCAUUCCGAAGGGCAUGCCUGUUCGAGCGUCAUGAUCAAAUCUCAAGCUUGCUUGGUAUUGGGUUUUCGUCUCCCUUGUCUUCGUACGGGUAUUGACGUGCCUGAAAAUCAAUGGCGGUACCUCAACAAUAGACUCAAGCGUAGCAGACUGACUCGCUUUAGAACUUUUGAGGGUCCCGUAAAUAAAAUAACAGAGUUGGACCUCGGAUCAGGUAGGGAUACCCGCUGAACUUAAGCAUAUCAAUAAGCGGAGGA
rnacentral:misc_RNA from 1 species